AGAGAGCUUUUAUUCCUCAUCUCGGACGAUGAACAGAGUAGUUGUAGCAAAAAGAGCCUGAGAACGUAUUUUACAUUGGACGCUGCUGGAAAGCUGUGGGAUACAGGGAAUCAUCGUGAAUAUGUGGAUUUUACGCCAUCUGCUGGUGCUUUUAAUGCACCUGGUCCUCGGAAGCCUUGCACAGCGAUUCUCCAACGGCUAUUAUUAUCAGGACAUAGUUAAUGGAAAUGGAAAUGGCAAUGGCAAUGGGGAGAUCUACUUCCACAAGAUCCGUCUUCACGUUGAGUCUCCUGAAACUCUAGUGUCGGCUGUCCAGGGGAGUAACGC